GUCCCUAUUACCUGACGUCUGCGUCGUUCAGUUGGGGAGUUCAGCUUAACGUGUUUCCGCACAUGAUGGGAGGGGAAGUAGAGGGGAAGACUGGAGAUGUUCUACACAGGAAAGAUGUAAUAAGAUAUAAGUCAGAGAUCACUGCAGGUGGACUGAUGUAGAAAUGCUCUGUGGGAACAAGUGCACAGUCUUCAGACUCCUGUCGACAUCUGGGAAGAAGAGGAACGUGACACUGAUCAACUGAAGUAACAAGUGGAGCUAUGAG